AAAAAAGUCAAUACUAUAUCUAUAUCAGCGUAUUCCGAAACUUGCAGUACAUUGUGCUAACUUGCAAAGCCGUUGGCCCGUUGCCCGUUGAUUAUAGGUACAGAAGUGUGCUACUAAGGUACUAUAAAGUAGCCUAUUUUUGUGCGUUUUACGGCUUUAUUAAAAAUUAUCAACGAAAAUUAUAUUAAUCAUUGGAUAAAAUUACACAUACAUAUAUACGCAGUAAAUUUAUAAAAAUAAUAGUAGAAUAAGGCUGUGAAAUGCAAUCUGAUUAUAACCUCAAAUCUUGUAUACAUUAAUGAGUAAAAAUAUAGAUUUACAAAUUUGUGAUACUUACAUAUACAGUGAUGACUUCUACAAAACGUAAACGAAUCUCUACAAGAAAUAAACAAUUUCUUGAACCUGAUUUUGAAAUAGAAGUUAGUUCAAGUACCCUGCACCGUUGGAAAAAAUUAUGUAAAUCUGAAAAUUGCGUUAUUAAAAAUGAAACCUUGGGACAAAACAUUUCUAAUGAAGAUUUCAAUAAACCGCAAAAUUGCAAAUCAACUAACAACGAUUGUAGAGGAAAUUUUUUAAUUCCAAGCAAAUCCCUCGAAUUAAAUAUUUAUAAUGAAGGCUGCAAUAACAAGGAAGAUAGCAACUUAAAUAGUAAAGGUUAUGAUAUCGCACAUCUUGUUACACAAAAUAGUUCUUUUAAUAAUUGUAACGGUAAUUUUCCAUCUUCUUGUAAUGCUAAUGAAGAAAGUGCGCUUAAUGAUAAAGACAACAGCAGUGAAGAAUGUGAUUUCAUAUUAAAUUCCAUAUUCAUUACUCGUAAAACAGCGAAACAUUUUGAGCAGGCUGCAAAUAUUAUAGAAACAGCUUCUGGAUCAUUCAUAGCAGAAUCUUCUGAGGAUAACCAUUAUGAGAGUGAUGUAAGUGAUACGCAUCACAGUAGUUUAGAAGAUAAUGAUUCAACUCAUAGUGAUGCUAUAAUUGUUGAAACAAUUAGUAGUCAUGACGCAAAUACAGAUGAGGAUUCUGGUGAAAGUAACAGAAAUGCAGAAAAAGUUUCUAACGUUAGAACGAAUACUCAAGACAAUCGUAUUAUGUUUCACGACUCCAAAAUCACAGUGCAUGAAACAAGUGUAAUUUUAACAGCAUUAAGUACAAAAUACCACCUACCUGAUGUUGCACAAGAACAGUUUGGUUCUUUUAUAAAACUUUUGGGUCCACAUAAUUUUAAUCAUAAAUCACUGUUUAACAAUUACUACUUGUCUGAAAAAUUUUCUGUGCUUUAUGGUAUUAUAAAUUACCAUUUUUAUUGUGAGUCUUGUGAAGAACAAAUUUUAUAUACAACAAAGCAAGAUGUUUUACCAAAAAUCAGUAAAGAAUGUCCUAUUUGUGAAAAAAAAAACAAAUAUUAUCUUAUAAUAAUGCACCAUAUUUCACAUCUAUCAGCAUCAAAUAUCAAUUGAAGCAGCUAUUAAAAACAAAAAAAAAUACGAACUGUCACUGGAUGAAAAUUAUUGCACAGUAUAUACUGAUGGAGCACCAAUUUUUAAAAAUUCUCUUACUUCUAUGUGGCCAGUACAAUUAAGGCUAAAUGAAUUAUUACCAAUGGAUAAUGCAAACAAUGUUAUUUUAAGCAGGUUUUUUCUUGUGAAUAAGGAACCAAGCUCAAAACUAAACAAUUUAUACUUAAAAACUGUGCUUGUAGAAAAUAUUAAAAAAUUAAGUUCUACGCGCUUAAUUUAUAAUGAUGAAGGUAAAAACAUUAAAUUCAAAAUGUUUUUAUUAUUAGUAACUGUGGAUUCUAAAGCAAGACCAGUUAUACAAUCUAGAUUGCAGUUUAAUGCUUAUUAUGGAUACGCUUGGUGUUAUGCUCGGGGUGAAUAUACUAACACCAUGAGGUAUACAUUUAAAUUUAGUGACUCUAAAAUAAGAACAGAUGCAUCGCACAUACAAGGUAUGCGUAAAGUAAUGGACUAUAAUUUAAAAAAUUUUAAUGGCGUAAAAGGACCAUGCAUAUUAAUGCAACUACCUGAUUUUGAUCCAGUAUGGUGGUUCUCGAUUGAUAUUUUGCAUUGUGUAUGUCUUGGUGUAACAAAGCAAUUUUGGGAUAAUUGGACUCAAACUAACAGCCCAUUUUACAUUAACAGUCAUAAGCAAAAAAUAGUCAAUAAACAAUUAUUAAACUUUCAAUUGCCAUCAGAAAUUCAUAGAAGUUGUCGCUCAUUUGGACCAAGAAUUAAAAAGAAAGGAUCAGAGUGGCUUUCAUGGCUUCUUUUUUUCAGUAUUAUUUGUUUGCAAAAUAUUCUUCCAGAUGAAGCUUUAUGUCAUUUCAGCAUAUUAAUAAAAUGUGUGUACACUUUAUAAAAAAAAAAAAAAAAACAAUAACUGAAGAGGAAUGCCUGAAUUGUCAUAAAGAACUAUUAACAUUUGUUGGACAGUGUGAAUUAUACUAUGGAAUAAAUGACAUGACUUUCAACGUUCACAGUCUCUUACAUUUAGCUUACAGUGUAAAAACGUCUAGCCCAUUGUUGGCAACAUCUACUUUUCCAGCAGAAAGUUUUAUGUUCCAAUUACAACAAUCAAAAACUUCAUCUAAAGGUGUCGAUAAACAGAUUAUUAGAAGGUACUUGAAAAUGAAUUUAUUAAAAUGGAAUGAAUUGCCACUACUAACACCAAACAAAAUUAGUACAAAAUUCACUGAGAGUAUUUUGUAUAAUAAACCUUUUUACGCAGAUGAAAGUGAAGAUGUAGUGCUUUCAAAUUUAGAAUAUGAUGAUGGGAUAUAAAAGUAUAAUCAAUGCAUAUACUUUGGAAAUAUUUACACAUCCCAAAAGUAUUCUGUUGGGAUGAAAAGAAAUAAUAGUAUUGUAUAAUUGAAAAGUAAUAUUAUUGUACAAAUUUUGUAUUUUUUUUUUAAAUUGACGAUGAUAUUUACAUCAAAGCAAAAGUUAUUUCUACUCAAUUUGCCUUACUAGAUAUGCCUCAUAUUUGGAGAGUUGAAAAUAUACUAAAUGAAAGCAUUGUAGAGAGCAUUACUUCGAUUGCUACUAAGAUUGAUUUACACAAGAUUCCUCUUGCUAUAAGAGUGAUUUCAAAAUGUUUUGUCAUUUUCUAGUAUGUCUGCAGAAUUUACAGCAGUCGAUAAACAUUUUUUUGUAACACAAGCACGAUUUUUCUGGCCUAUAAAGCGGGAUUAAAGUGACUUUUUUCAGACCGACAGGCAAACAAAAAUUAAAAAACGCCCGCUACUCAAGUAUCGAAAAUUUUUUGGAAAAUUAUAUGUAUAUAUAUUGUAACGAGUGCUGAGAUUUUGAAUCUCGCGCGCACGUAUGUCGCGCGAUUACAAACGAGACGUCAGCGGUUGGCGAUGACGAAGGAUUUUCCGUGGAGAGACAAGCGCGCGUUCAAACUCGAUUUUGCUUUGGUAGUGCUUACAUCUACGCGAUAAACUCCGUCGAGAAACCACGAGCCGAUCCACCCCACUCGGCGCACAAGAGAACCCAUAGUGCUUCAAGUGACUGGAGCCACAGCAGCCAACUUCUACUCCUGGGGAGCCGUGACCGGUCGCGAGGACGAGGAAAAGCAUUCGACCAGCGAGCGAAAAAAAUUGGGAAAAAAAUCCUUUGCAUAUCAAACGGAAUAAACCAAAAUAUUAUCAAAGUUUGAUGACUACACCAAUGCUUGAUCAAAUAUUAAGGAAAAAUUAUAUUUUAUUUACAAAAAAUAUAGACAUUACAUCAUUCACAAAUAACAAACGUGAAACUCAUAAUCCACAUGGAAGGGCUUUACCUAGUAUUGUUUGGGAUUAUUAUGCUAACGGAUGUUCAGUGCGAUUGUUAAAUCCUCAAACUUUUAUCCCGAAAUUACAUACUUUGAAUGCUAUACUUCAAGAAUUUUUCGGAUGUUUUGUUGGGUCAAAUUCUUAUUUGACACCACCAAACAGUCAAGGAUUCGCCCCCCAUUAUGAUGAUAUUGAAGCUUUUAUACUACAAAUCGAAGGGAAAAAAAGAUGGAGGUUGUAUAAACCUAAAACGGAUAAUGAAAUUUUACCAAGGUACUCUUCGCUUAAUUUUUCACAACAAGAUCUAGGAGAACCCAUUCUCAAUACAGUAAUUGAAGCAGGAGACAUUUUAUAUUUUCCACGAGGGACUAUUCAUCAAGGAGAUA